AAGCGGUGGAGCAUGUGGUUUAAUUCGACGCAACGCGAAGAACCUUACCAGGGCUUGACAUCCCCUGACCGCGUAUGAAAGUACGUUUCACCCUCGGGUGACAGGGAGACAGGUGGUGCAUGGUUGUCGUCAGCUCGUGUCGUGAGAUGUUGGGUUAAGUCCCGCAACGAGCGCAACCCUCGACCUUAGUUGCCAGCAUUCAGUUGGGCACUCUAAGGUGACUGCCGGCUAAAAGUCGGAGGAAGUGGGGAUGACGUCAAAUCAUCAUGCCCCUUAUGACCUGGGCUACACACGUGCUACAAUGGGCGGUACAAAGGGUCGCGAACCCGCGAGGGGGAGCCAAUCCCAAAAAGCCGCUCUCAGUUCGGAUUGCAGGCUGCAACUCGCCUGCAUGAAGCCGGAAUCGCUAGUAAUCGCGGAUCAGCAUGCCGCGGUGAAUACGUUCCCGGGCCUU
rnacentral:rRNA from 1 species